rnacentral:rRNA from 1 species
UACGUAGGGUGCAAGCGUUGUCCGGAAUUACUGGGCGUAAAGCGCACGUAGGCGGCUUUGCAAGUCAGAGGUGAAAGCCCGGGGCUCAACCCCGGAAUUGCCUUUGAGACUGCAUCGCUAGAAUUGUGGAGAGGUAAGUGGAAUUCCGAGUGUAGAGGUGAAAUUCGUAGAUAUUCGGAAGAACACCAGUGGCGAAGGCGACUUACUGGACACAUAUUGACGCUGAGGCACGAAAGCGUGGGGAGCAAACAGG